GCGGCUAUAGUUCAGGGGUUAGAACGUCGGUUUGUGGUACCGAAUGUCGUGGGUUCAAUUCCCACUAGCCGCCCCA
rnacentral:tRNA from 1 species